ensembl:lncRNA
GGAAGCUGAUAAAAAAGGGACAGAACAGACAGCCGGAGGGGCUGCGUCUCAAACAAUUUCAGCUCACUUUGCCAGACCGCCUCUGUCCGUGCCCCUGGAUGGAAAGAGUGGGUAAGCUGCUCCGGACAAGGAAUAAACAGGAGUGUUAUGUAGAAGAGUGUACUUGCGCUACAGAUGAAGUAAACCUGUGACAGCUCCACGUCCAAGCAGAAGCAUUCAGGAUAAUUCUGAUUCAUUGAAUUCAGCACACCAAGUCUGCGGCAUCUCAGGUUUGGUGGACUUCUGCUGAACUCAAGGUAGAACUCUGCUGAAGCCUUUCCACAGCUACUGCAGACAGCUGAGAGCAAAAGACCUCUGAGUUUUGUGGCUGUGCAUCAGAGCCACCAGCUGAGAUGAUUAAAGACAGUGUACAUGUUUACACAGAGCAGAGAGGCGCUGGAACUGCAGGCAGCACCACGGCCUCAGCGCAGCACGGUGCCAAUCAGCACACUAGCUAGUGUGCACACUUCCAAAGAGCCACCCACAUUAGUGCAGCUGGACUGACAGCAGUGCUCUGUGAAGAUGAAGCAUAGAUACAUCAGCCCGGUGGGCUGCAAGACCUAACGAUUGCGCAGUUGCAAGGUGAGCUGGAUUAAUCAGGUGGCUCAACAGAGAACAAAACCACCAAAACAGUCGGAUGGGCUAUUUUGAGUCAAAGCACUAGGUAGGUCUUCUGCAUGGGAGUUGGAGGCACACAGCUGGGAGAAAAAGGCAGGAGGAGGACUUUUCUGCAGCAGCACUUUGCCUUUGCACGAGGCUGGCUGCAACAUGAUAUCACACAUUUUCAGGCCACUAAAAAUGUCAUGCAAACACCACUUUGGUUUUUAUUUGUUUUGUUUCUGAAACUGAAGUUAGGUCACAUCCUGGCUUCUGAUCUGUAACGUUAGAAUCAUGUAAUCUCUUGGAGUUCACUGGGUUCACAGCUGCUACAAAACAGGUGGCCUGAGAGAAUUAGACCAAUAAAAGAAGUAAAGUACCUGGCAAAGGUAAUUAUGUGGCAACUUCUUCUAAGAGAGGGAAAAGAAGCCAACUUUCUGACAUCCAAAAGUAUUCCUCUGAGGUGUUGUUCAACCUAGACCAAAACUUUCCAUUGUCCUGAUGCUUUCCAGACCAGCAUAAGACACUGAGCUGAGCUUGGAGAGCUGGUGGCUCCUGGCGGCUGUAGGAGCUGCAUCUCCCCUCCGUUCUCAUGGAAGCGCAGGGAUCCAGGAAGCUCCUCUGGAUGAUGGUUAUUUCCUGGCCUCCCUUCCGUGACCUAUGACCGAUGAUGACCUUUAGCUAGAGAAUGUGACAUUUUGUUCUCCUCUGGCUGACAUGUGAUGCCCUCAUUAUUCAAAGGGAUGUCUCAGGGAGCACUGACAGUUUCCACCUUCCCUUCUUCCACCCAACAGACACCACAGUGCCAUUUGGACUGGAGUGGAAAGGCGCAGACUGGAUUUCAUCCUGAUCUAAAGUACAGGCAAGGUUUACUGAUAUCAUACCAGAAUGCUGGAAAGCAUGAGAGAAGGAUUUCCUGGAUACCAUCUCUGUUCAAACAAGGAUAAAGUGCAGCCAAAGAAGGAAAGAUAAACAAAAGAUUUAAAGCGUUGCUAGAGAAGGAAAGAACUAGAUGAGAAACCACAAUCUGGAUGUAAUUAAGAGGAAUUCAGCACUGCUUUUCUCUGUGAUGCCACUCAUUACCUGUGCAAGACCUUUUCAACAUAGAAGCAGAAGACAAACACUUGCAAAGGGAAAACAACUCCCUGUAACUACAUACUGCAUCUCUCACCACGCUUUUUAAUCUCUAACACACUAGGAGCAUGUGCCAGAUAGCAUGUGUACCUUUCAGAGAUAACCUGGAGUUACACAGCCACCAGCUCAAGCAACAUGAACUUCAGCCUCACACGGCCUGUUCCAAUUUGCCCACGCUAAGCCUUCAUGUUCCCACAGCAAAUGCCAGUGCCUUGAGUUUGCUGGAUACAGAUACUCCAAGGGACUGCUUAGGCAUAAAAUGUUGAGAAUGUGACUGACUAAACAGAGAUGAACACAUCAAAAACUGUUCUAGAGUUUUACAGGAUCCUGCAGCACUUCCAGAACUGCUGAGAACCUGGGCCAUAUCUGUCAGCUGAGAUGGCAGAAGAAGAAAUCCCCAUUGUACAGCUUGUAAAUGAAGAGGUCUUGCUGGACUAGAUAACUGUACAGAGUGAAGGAAAUACUUGAUGAAGACUCCACAAAUUCCUCAUUAUUUCUUUGUUUCACCUGCCUCAUGAAUAUUUGCAUGAACAGAUUUUGGCUCACACUGGGAGAUACCCUCUCAUAUAAAUAUCUAUGGUAACAUAGCAACAAGGGAUUUGGUGCAUAAAACUACUUUUUUUAACUGAUGUCUCUUAGUUUCUAAAAUGAUCAUUUCUAAAAUGAAUUUGAAACCUAAAUUCAUUUUCUCUCAAACAUUUUCAACCAUGAUUCUGCACAAGUGUUAUUAUGGCUUCACUCUUUAGUUACAAAUGCUUUGAAAAUAAUUUAUAUUUGACUUGAUAUUGAAACAGUGCCAUUUGUAAGAUGAUCUUCAGGUGGUCAUUCUAUGGCAUGCUGUUUUCUACCAUUUGUAUUUUAAAAUUAAUCAUGAAAUCCUUCCACCAUAGAUUAAAUAAAAUAUCAUAAAGUAUAAAAACAAGGGCUGUACCUGAGGCUUGAAAGUUGCUAUUCCUGACAGCACUUCAUCUUUUUCAUACCCAUAUUGGCUUUUAUCCCGGCCCAUCUAUUCCUUAAUGUAACUGUUAUAAAUUGAUGUAAAGUGCCAUAAAAUAUAAUAAACAUGAAUCAAUAUUUCUUGGUUAAAAAACUUAGAAAUGCUGAUGAAGCUCAAGUUUAUUAUAGAUGUCCUGAACCCACAAUGUGCCUUUAUUUUUUUUUUACCUUCAUCAUUUUUUCAGGUCUUGAGUUCAUGUGUGCAUACACACUCACUCUUCACAAAUCAAAGAGGCAGUGAAAAUUAAAA